AUUUACAGUAAGCAGUUGCUUCAAUUUCAGUCACCACCUCCUAAAGCUAUUUCUCCCAAGAGGCCAUCCUUUGCAGCUGAAAACAAGCAGGUGAAUAAAGAUAGUAGCAAGAAAGACACUUUUGAUGAGGAAAGUGAAGAUGGGGAGCCUCAGAAAAAGAAGAGUAAAGUUGUGCCUGUGCAAC